rnacentral:tRNA from 1 species
GGAGCUGUGCCCGAAUUUUUAAGGACCACUUUGAUAGAGUGACUUAUGAGGGUUAAAAUCCC